UACGGAGGGGCAAGCGUUGUUCGGAAUUACUGGGCGUAAAGGGCGCGCAGGCGGCUGCUCAAGUCAGGCGUGAAAGGCCUGGGCUCAACCCGGGAAUUGCGCUUGAGACUGGGCUGGCUUGAGUGCGGGAGAGGAUGGUGGAAUUCCCAGUGUAGAGGUGAAAAUUCGUAGAUAUUGGGAAGAACACCGUGGCGAAGGCG
rnacentral:rRNA from 1 species